rnacentral:lncRNA from 1 species
CCGAGGGCUUACGGAGAACAUUAAAUUUACUUGACGCUUACCUGUUCCAUUUGUUUUGCCUUCACUGCACUAUGAAGAUACAGUGUGUAAUGUCAUUCUCCUUAUUUAAAUUGACAUUUAUACUCAUGGCUUCUUUUUUCAUGUGCUAAACUGCUAUUCAUCCUUCGAGACCCAUUUUUUACUCAUUUUGAUAAUGUCUUCCACAACCCAUUUUUUUGGGGAAAAAAACAAACCUUCUCAUCUGCUCCUAGGACAAUUUGUUCAAACAUUUAUAAUUGCAUUUACCAUAUCACUCUGUAAUUUAUUGCUUACUCUUAGCCUCUUAGCUUAUGUAACAUAUCAAAUUCUAGAAUGAAAUAAAUCCUAAUCAAC